GGAUUAGAUACCCUGGUAGUCCACGCCGUAAACGAUGGUUACUAGCUGUCCGGCCCGAUUGAGGGCUGGGUGGCCAAGCGAAAGUGAUAAGUAACCCACCUGGGGAGUACGUUCGCAAGAAUGAAACUCAAAGGAAUUGACGGGGGCCCGCACAAGCGGUGGAGCAUGUGGUUUAAUUCGAUGAUACGCGAGGAACCUUACCAGGGCUUAAAUGCAGCAUGACAGGUUUGGAAACAGACUUUUCUUCGGACAUGUUGCAAGGUGCUGCAUGGUUGUCGUCAGCUCGUGCCG
rnacentral:rRNA from 1 species